rnacentral:rRNA from 1 species
AGUGAACGCUGGCGGUAGGCCUAACACAUGCAAGUCGAACGGCAGCACAGUAAGAGCUUGCUCUUACGGGUGGCGAGUGGCGGACGGGUGAGGAAUACAUCGGAAUCUACUUUUUCGUGGGGGAUAACGUAGGGAAACUUACGCUAAUACCGCAUACGACCUACGGGUGAAAGCAGGGGAUCUUCGGACCUUGCGCGAUUGAAUGAGCCGAUGUCGGAUUAGCUAGUUGGCGGGGUAAAGGCCCACCAAGGCGACGAUCCUUAGCUGGUCUGAGAGGAUGAUCAGCCACACUGGAGCUGCGCAUCGGUCCAAACUCCUACGGGAGGCAGCAGUGGGGAAUAUUGGACAAUGGGCGCAAGCCUGAUCCAGCCCUACCGCGUCAGUGAUGAAGGCCUUCGGGUUGUAAAGCCCUUUUGUUGAGAAAGAAAAGCAGCAGGUUAAUACCCCGCUGUUCUGACGGUACCCAAAGAAUAAGCACCGGCUAACUUCGUG